UACGGAGGUGGCAAGCGUUGUUCGGAAUUACUGGGCGUAAAGGGCGCGUAGGCGGUAUGUCAAGUCAGAUGUGAAAGCCCUAGGCUUAACCUGGGAACUGCAUCUGAAACUGGCAUGCUUGAGUUCUGGAUGGGGUAGUGGAAUUCCCAGUGUAGCGGUGAAAUGCGUAGAUAUUGGGAGGAACACCAGCGGCGAAGGCGGCUACCUGGACAGAUACUGACGCUGAGGCGCGAAAGCCAGGGGAGCGAACGGGAUUAGAUACCCCGGUAGUCCUGGCUGUAAACGAUGGGCACUUGGUGUUGGGGGUAUUGAGUCCCUCGGUGCCGGAGUUAACACGUUAAGUGCCCCGCCUGGGGAGUACGGUCGCAAGACUGAA
rnacentral:rRNA from 1 species